rnacentral:rRNA from 1 species
ACGGUAACAGGUCUUCGGAUGCUGACGAGUGGCGAACGGGUGAGUAAUACAUCGGAACGUGCCCGAUCGUGGGGGAUAACGAGGCGAAAGCUUUGCUAAUACCGCAUACGAUCUACGGAUGAAAGCGGGGGAUCUUCGGACCUCGCGCGGACGGAGCGGCCGAUGGCAGAUUAGGUAGUUGGUGGGAUAAAAGCUUACCAAGCCGACGAUCUGUAGCUGGUCUGAGAGGAUGAUCAGCCACACUGGGACUGAGACACGGCCCAGACUCCUACGGGAGGCAGCAGUGGGGAAUUUUGGACAAUGGGCGAAAGCCUGAUCCA